GGUCAGCCAGAGGAGGUCAGUGGAAGGACCCGUUGGCACUGCUGGCCAGGUCUAGAGGUUAGAGGUUAAACCGCCUAAUCCUAACCACAGUCCUAUCAAUAGAUCACAAACACGGGAUGGAGGAAUUUUCCCCGGAAGGCACCGUUAUUGCUCAACUGCACAGGCCCCUACCUAGUCACCUCGCCCACGCUCUCAACCCUCUCACAUGUGCACCUCUUAGACUGUAAGCCUUUAAAAUGGCCAGGAUUUUCUUUGCCGGGGAGCUUGGUGAUUGAGGCUUCGGCCAGCCGCCGCUCUCAGCCGAAUAAAACUGCCACUUCCUUCCCC